CCUACGGGAGGCAGCAGUGGGGGAUAUUGCACAAUGGGGGGAACCCUGAUGCAGCGACGCCGCGUGGGUGAAGGAGUGCUUCGGCAUGUAAAGCCCUAUCGGCAGGGAAGAAGAUGACGGUACCUGGCCAAGAAGCCCCGGCUAACUACGUGCCAGCUGCCGCGGUACUACGGAGGGGGCAAGCGUUAUCCGGAUUUACUGGGUGUAAAGGGGGCGCAGACGGCAAUGCAAGCCAGGAGUGAAAGCCCGGGGCCCAACCCCGGGACUGCUCUUGGAACUGCAUGGCGGGAGUACAGGAGGGGCAGGCGGAAAUCCUGGUGUAGCGGUGAAAUGCGUAGAUAUUAGGAGGAACACCGGUGGCGAAGG
rnacentral:rRNA from 1 species